rnacentral:rRNA from 1 species
UACAGAGGUCCCGAGCGUUGUUCGGAUUCACUGGGCGUAAAGGGUGCGUAGGUGGUUGGGCAAGUCUGAUGUGAAAUCUCCGGGCUUAACCCGGAGAUGGCAUUGGAAACUGCCUGGCUAGAGUGUUGGAGGGGGGACUGGAAUUCUCGGUGUAGCAGUGAAAUGCGUAGAUAUCGAGAGGAACACCAGUGGCGAAGGCGAGUCCCUGGACAACGACUGACACUGAGGCACGAAAGCUAGGGGAGCAAACAGG